UUGCGUAGGUGGUUCAAUAAGCGAAUAGUGAAAGCUGGUGGCUCAACCAUUCAGAUUAUUAUUCGAACUGUUGAACUCGAGAGCAGAAGAGGUAGCUGGAAUUUCUAGUGUAGGAGUGAAAUCCGUAGAUAUUAGAAGGAACACCGAUGGCGUAGGCAGGCUACUGGGCUGUUUCUGACACUGAGGCAAGCUGGGGAGCGGAACC
rnacentral:rRNA from 1 species